AGCUUUGUGCAGUGGCAGUAUUGUAGCCAUUGAGGUUUAUCUGAGGUGCAGUUAUUGCUAAUUGAAAGCUUUUCCCAAUACCCCAUUGUGAUGACUUGAAAUACAGUUAGCAUUGGCAAAUAAUAAUAAUAAUAAUAAU
ensembl:snRNA U4 U4 spliceosomal RNA